AGUGGUUUAGCACUUGGCUGCUAACCAAAAGGUUAGCGGUUCAAACCCGCCAGCCGCUC
rnacentral:tRNA from 1 species